rnacentral:lncRNA from 1 species
GUUGUUUGCAUAUGUAAACUAACAGGACAUUUCUAUACCAUUUUGUUUGAGUGAAAUUGUGUAUUGUGCACUCCAAAAUUUCGAACAUUUUUUGAUUUUAAAUUAUCAUGUUUGAUAUGGCUUCUAAUGUCUUCAUCUUGAAAUAUGGUUGCAUGUACAUUAAGAGUACGAGGUGGUGCGUGGGACUAGCAGCUUCUAAGGACAUAUCUGAUGGUGGUGUUGACG